CCCCAAUAAUAGUAAAGACAAGAGCUAAAACCUGGCUGACAGCCAACAUCAGCAAGCUGCAGUUUAGAAACGUGCCCCAGAAAAAAGGCAGAGCCCCGGGUGCUGCUGCUGGCAGCAGGAGAAAACCCUCUGCAUUCCACUGCGUUCUGUGCAUUCACUCAAGCCAGCUAUCUCACAAAGGUAAGCCACUGACCGUCAAGAGAACUAGAUAAGAGACUGGAGAUUGAAUCAGUGGACAAUAUUUAUCAGGAAGCUUGCACUAAAUAAUGAGGAUCCAGAAGUGAAUGAGAUCCAGUACCUCACUCGAGAGCUUACUUGCAGCCAGCACAAAUCCAUCUAACCACUUGAAAACAAUUCUCCUUCAUUAUGAAAAAGUCGGAGUAUCUUUAAGUGAUUGAUUGGAUGCUACUAAAUGGGUGCACUUAAAGGUAUUUUUGCUCGUCAUGCUCUUUCUGCUUCUUUGUCAAACGUAUUUUGAAAAUAAAAGAAUAUAGAAAAUUAUAAAAUACGAAAUCAUAGCUUUCAAAGAGUAUUAUGUAUCAUAAUCAAAACUGAAAAUUGUGGCAUUGUUUAUCUUCUUAAAACUGAUGUUAUUGUUUAGGUUUUUGUGUUGACUUUCAGUGUUUAAACAUUUUAAACUCUUCACUUUAAGAGAUCUAUUUCUUAACAGGUUUCUUCCUUCUGCUUUAAUCAUUACAUGCCCUGUUUGAGCUGGUUAAUUUCCAAAGGUUAAUGUCAUUCAAAGUUAUUGUUGAUUUCUUUGAAAUAACUUACUUAAACUAUUUCUGAACACCAGCAUUCCACAACACAUAUGCAUUGCAUUAACAGCCGUUCGUUCACAGAACAAAACCUUACUGGUUAAUACGGCUUAUUUUAGGCUCCUAGAUGGAACCCAGCAUCUUCCAUAAAGUUUCCUUUGCUUAGACUCAGCUGUGAGCUCCGACAUAACUGAUGCUAUGUGCCAAGUAUUGUUUUUCUUGUUGACCGACUGACCGUAUUUCAUGUUUCUAAUGACCACUUGAUAGCAAAGAACAUUCAGUCAUAUGUACAGCCUUUUCACACUGGGUAGAGGUUUCUAAGCCUUCUAAAAAUAAAGACUAGUCUAGAGUAACGUCAUAUUUUUAAUGCCCUGAGUUUGUUUUAUUACACAACUCAGCUAUAAAUACUGCCAAUGAGUCUCUGUUUCAAAACUGUAUCUAUCUUUCAGUACCAAAAUGAGGACAUAUGUCCUUCACAAUGUAACUGUUUUAUGGAAGGAGGGGGUAAAGAAAUUCUUUCUGAUUUCAGCUCUACCAGCUAAUUUUGUUUCUUGUUGUUAUAGGAGUAUUAUGCAUAAAUAUAAACUCUUUGAUGCUUUGGGUUUUUUUGUUCAGGUGAGGGUGUGUAGGAAAGCAAC
rnacentral:lncRNA from 1 species